UACGGGGGGGGCAAGCGUUGUUCGGAAUUACUGGGCGUAAAGCGCACGUAGGCGGAUUGUUAAGUCGGGGGUGAAAUCCUGGAGCUCAACUCCAGAACUGCCUUCGAUACUGGCGAUCUCGAGUCCGGGAGAGGUGAGUGGAACUGCGAGUGUAGAGGUGAAAUUCGUAGAUAUUCGCAAGAACACCAGUGGCGAAGGCGGCUCACUGGCCCGGUACUGACGCUGAGGUGCGAAAGCGUGGGGAGCAAACAGG
rnacentral:rRNA from 1 species